GACGUAGGGCGCGAGCGUUGUCCGGAUUUAUUGGGCGUAAAGAGCUCGUAGGCGGCUCAUUGCGUCAACCGUGAAAACCAGCAGCUCAACUGUUGGCUUGCGGUUGAUACGGUUGGGCUGGAGUUCGGUAGGGGAGACUGGAAUUCCUGGUGUAGCGGUGAAAUGCGCAGAUAUCAGGAGGAACACCGGUGGCGAAGGCGGGUCUCUGGGCCGAUACUGACGCUGAGGAGCGAAAGCGUGGGGAGCGAACAGG
rnacentral:rRNA from 1 species